AACAGUCUGGCAGAUUCUCAAAAGUUUGGAUGUAGAGUUUGCAUAUGACCCAGCAAUUCCACUCCAGGUAUUUACCCCAGAGCAAUGGAGACGUAGAGUCACAUAGAAAAACUUGUACAUAAAUGUUCAUAGCAGUGUUUUGCGUAAUAGCCCCGAAGUAGAAACAAUCUCAAUGUCCAUCGGCUGCUGAAUGGAGAAACAGAUGUACUAUGGAUAAAAAAAAUGGAGCAUAUCCAUACAAUGGAAUAUGAUGUGGUCACCAAAAAAAGAAUAUCGUACACUACAAUAUGAAUGGACCUCAAAAGCAUUAUGGCAGCCCCUGGGCUCCACUGCCUGCUCCCCAGACGGCAGACUCCGGACGCCUCCCCUUUCCUCCGCCCCAGCCUGUCCACCGUCUCCCCAGCAGGCCGUCUCCACCCGCGUCAGAAUCCUGGGUCUCCAGGGCUGCAGGAGGGCUCGGACCGGGUGUGACUUGCAGCUCCGGGCGGAAUUCAGCCUGCAGGAGUCUUGUUUGCAGAGGAUCAGGUUGUUCUCAAACUUGAAGUGUGCCUGGAGGGAGGAGGAAGAGCUCACUGGAUUGGACCAGGGGACUGAAGGGCAGGGAGGGGGACGGGAAGAGGAGACAGUGGAACCAAUCGGAGGUCACUUUCCCUUGUUCAUAUAUGAACUCGCUGCCAGUGGAACGCCACAUCCUGUCCAGCCACCAGAAUGAGAAUCUAAUUAGAAGUUACACUGCGUGUAUGUAUAAUAUGUCAAAAUAUAUCCUACUGUCCUGUGUAU